rnacentral:misc_RNA from 1 species
GAUGAAGAACGCAGCGAAAUGCGAUACGUAAUGUGAAUUGCAGAAUUCAGUGAAUCAUCGAAUCUUUGAACGCACAUUGCACUCCUUGGUAUUCCGAGGAGUAUGCCUGUUUCAGUAUCAUGAGCACUCUCACAUCUAACCUUUGGGUUAAAAUGUGGAAUUGGGAUGCGCCGGUUAUUAUAACGGCCCUCCUAAAAUUCAGUUCUUGGCUGCUUCCUACUACAGCAGUUCGGCCUAAUAGUUUUGAGUCUUCGAUUCAAAUCUUUGGCUAACAUUUGCUUCAGGAUGUCAGUCUUGAUAUACAGAAAUCUCAUUCAAACUUUGAUCUGAAAUCAGGUAGGGCUACCCGCUGAACUUAAGCAUAUCAAUAAGCGGAGGA